rnacentral:rRNA from 1 species
AUUGAACGCUGGCGGCAUGCCUUACACAUGCAAGUCGAACGGUAACAGGUCUUCGGAUGCUGACGAGUGGCGAACGGGUGAGUAAUACAUCGGAACGUGCCCGAUCGUGGGGGAUAACGAAGCGAAAGCUUUGCUAAUACCGCAUAAGAUCUACGGAUGGAAGCAGGGGACCGCAAGGCCUUGCGCGAACGGAGCGGCCGAUGGCAGAUUAGGUAGUUGGUGGGAUAAAAGCUUACCAAGCCGACGAUCUGUAGCUGGUCUGAGAGGACGACCAGCCACACUGGGACUGAGACACGGCCCAGACUCCUACGGGAGGCAGCAGUGGGGAAUUUUGGACAAUGGGCGAAAGCCUGAUCCAGCCAUGCCGCGUGCAGGAUGAAGGCCUUCGGGUUGUAAACUGCUUUUGUACGGAACGAAAAGACUCUGGUUAAUACCUGGGGUCCAUGACGGUACCGUAAGAAUAAGCACCGGCUAACUACGUGCCAGCAGCCGCGGUAACAC